CUGCUAUCGNUGUUCGACUAAGCCAUGCGAGUCAAAUGUUCUUCGUGAACAUGGCGGACUGCUCAGUAACACGUGGAUAACCUGCCCNUNGGGUUCGGCAUAACUCCGGGAAACUGGAGAUAAUUCCGAAUAGGUCAAAUAUGCUGGAAUGCUUUUUGGCCAAAAGACCUCGGUUGCCUAAGGAUGGAUCUGCGGUCUAUCAGGUUGUAGUGGGUGUAACGUACCUACUAGCCUACGACGGAUAUGGGUUGUGAGAGCAAGAGCCCAGAGAUGGAUUCUGAGACAUGAAUCCAGGCCCUACGGGGCGCAGCAGGCGCGAAAACUUUACAAUGCGGGAAACCGCGAUAAGGGGACACCGAGUGCCAGCAUUUAUGUUGGCUGUCCACAUGUGUAAACGGCAUGUGUUAGCAAGGGCCGGGCAAGACCGGUGCCAGCCGCCGCGGUAACACCGGCGGCCCGAGUGGUAAUCACUUUUAUUGGGUCUAAAGGGUCCGUAGCCGGUUUGAUCAGUUCUUCGGGAAAUCUGACAGCUCAACUGUUAGGCUUCCGGGGAAUACUGUCAGACUUGGGACCGGGAGAGGUAAGAGGUACUACAGGGGUAGGAGUGAAAUCUUGUAAUCCCUGUGGGACCACCAGUGGCGAAGGCGUCUUACCAGAACGGGUCCGACGGUGAGGGACGAAAGCUGGGGGCACGAACCGGAUUAGAUACCCGGGUAGUCCCAGCCGUAAACGAUGUUCGCUAGGUGUCAGGGGCGGUGCGACCGCUUCUGGUGCCGUAGGGAAGCCGUGAAGCGAACCACCUGGGAAGUACGGCCGCAAGGCUGAAACUUAAAGGAAUUGGCGGGGGAGCACAAGGGCGAAUUCUGCAGAUAUCCAUCAC
rnacentral:rRNA from 1 species